rnacentral:rRNA from 1 species
ACUCCUACGGGAGGCAGCAGUGGGGAAUAUUGCGCAAUGGGCGAAAGCCUGACGCAGCGACGCCGCGUGUGGGAUGACGGCCUUCGGGUUGUAAACCACUGUCGGGAGGGACGAAGCUCUGACGGUACCUCCAAAGGAAGCACCGGCUAACUCUGUGCCAGCAGCCGCGGUAAU